UGGGGAAUCUUGGACAAUGGGGGCAACCCUGAUCCAGCCAUGCCGCGUGAGUGAUGAAGGCCUUAGGGUCGUAAAGCUCUUUCGCCUGUGAAGAUAAUGACGGUAGCCGGAGAAGAAGCCCCGGCUAACUCCGUGCCAGCAGCCGCGGUAAUACGGAGGGGGCUAGCGUUGUUCGGAAUUACUGGGCGUAAAGCGCGCGUAGGCGGACUGAUCAGUCAGGGGUGAAAUCCCGGGGCUCAACCCCGGAACUGCCUUUGAUACUGUCAGUCUUGAGUCCGGAAGAGGCGAGUGGAAUACCGAGUGUAGAGGUGAAAUUCGUAGAUAUUCGGUGGAACACCAGUGGCGAAGGCGCUCACUGGCUCGAUACUGACGCUGAGGUGCGAAAGUGUGGGGAGCAAACAGGAUUAGAUACCCUGGUAGUCCACACCGUAAACGAUGAAUGCCAGUCGUCGGGUAGCAUGCUAUUCGGUGACACACCUAACGGAUUAAGCAUUCCGCCUGGGAGUACGGUCGCAAGAUUAAAAGCUCAAA
rnacentral:rRNA from 1 species